rnacentral:rRNA from 1 species
UACUGCCUAUCAGAGGGGAAUAACAGUGAGAAAUCAUUGCUAAUACCGCAUAUGCCAUAAUUAUCGCAUGAUAGUAGUGGGAAAGAAGCAAUUCGCUGAUAGAUGAGCUUGCGUCUGAUUAGCUAGUUGGUGGGGUAAAGGCCUACCAAGGCGACGAUCAGUAGCCGGACUGAGAGGUUGGACGGCCACAUUGGGACUGAGAUACGGCCCAGACUCCUACGGAAGGCAGCAG